rnacentral:rRNA from 1 species
GACGAACGCUGGCGGCGUGCUUAACACAUGCAAGUCGAACGGAAAGGCCCUGCUUUUGUGGGGUGCUCGAGUGGCGAACGGGUGAGUAACACGUGAGUAACCUUCCCUUGACUUUGGGAUAACUUCAGGAAACUGGGGCUAAUACCGGAUAGGAGCUCCUGCUGCAUGGUGGGGGUUGGAAAGUUUCGGCGGUUGGGGAUGGACUCGCGGCUUAUCAGCUUGUUGGUGGGGUAGUGGCCUACCAAGGCUUUGACGGGUAGCCGGCCUGAGAGGGUGACCGGCCACAUUGGGACUGAGAUACGGCCCAGAGUCCUACGGGAGGCAGCAGUGGGGAAUAUUGCACAAUGGGCGGAAGCCUGAUGCAGCAACGCCGCGUGCGGGAUGACGGCCUUCGGGUUGUAAACCGCUUUCGCCUGUGACGAAGCGUGAGUGACGGUAAUGGGUAAAGAAGCACCGGCUAACUACGUG